rnacentral:lncRNA from 1 species
UUAUUGAGAGGGUUGUUCAUGAUGGUAAUGAUAUAGAUAUUUGCAAUGUCAAACAUCACAUUAUCGACAUAUAUGCUCUACAACCACAAGUUCAAAUACAUAUACAUUUAAUGGAUGGGUUGUAAGCUGCCUUGAAGCUUGUGAACCAGCUCCUCCUCUGUAUUUGCUUCAGUAGCUGCUCCUGAAAUUUAUGUACUACUGUACCGUAUGUUACCUUUAUAUGAGUUUGAAAUAAUUCAUAAAAUGUAUUCUGUGACAUUUUAAGCUGUAGCUAACAGUGAGGUGAUGUUUUAGAGCUGUUUCAUUUUCUAUUACUAUUAUGACUAAUAAUGUUGCUUUUCUCAUAGGCCUGCUGUUUUAAUGUACUAUGUAUCUGACAGAUAGCAUUAAUGUAUUGUUUUUUGUCUCAAACAAACAGAAGAUUAUACCACUCCCGUGCGUUUAUUGGUAAGUAGAAGUGUUAUUACCAAAAGUGACAUCGUACUCUAAAAAUUAGCUGGAUGAAUGUUUUGCUUUAUCCUGGUAAACAACAACUCAUGAGACAUAUAUUUCAACAGAUGAUGCAUCUAAUAAAGACUGACUUUAAUUACAUAUUAAAUGUUGAUCUUUCUCUAUCACUACUGCAUAUCUCCUAUUAUACAUAUAUAUAUAUAUAUAUAUAUAUAUAUUGGAUACAUUUUUUCCUGGUGGACAACUGUGUUAACAAUGUUACCACACAACUACAUUUGUUUAUUCAAAACAUUUCAACUUGCUGGGAAAGUGUGACUUCAUUUUCAUAAUAAUGAUGAGGGAAAAUCAUUUGGGAAAAUGAGUGAAUGAAGUGAGCUGUGAGGCUGUUUAUUUUAAAGAGUAUUAAAUAUCUGUUUUCUACAUUUUAAGCUUCAUGUUUUUCAGGCCAAGGUUGCUUCACUAUAAUCUUUCCAGUCAUUAUGUGGUAUAAAACAUGAACUUGGAUUAGAAAUUACAAAACUAAUGAUUGUCAAUGAAAAAUGGUUGUGCCAUCAAUUAAGUAUGACAUAAUGAUUGUUUUGCAACUACAUUUACAUUUUCCUCCUCUAUAAUUUCACUGCUUCUGAAAUUGGCUAUUCUAUCUCUUUAAUGCAGACCAUUGUGGCCAACUCAGCUGAAAGUUCACUAACACAAAUACAUGUUAAUGUGUGAAUAAAUUUUUUUUACAACACAUUAUGUAAAACUGUACAUCAUGUCAUAAUUUCACAAACUGCUGCAUCUUUUCACUGAAUUGUAACAUUACCCAUUUCAAACUAUGCCUUAUCUUAAGUCAAGCUGAACCUAAUGUUAAUACGUUUGCUGCUUGAUAACAAUUGAAUGUUUAUUACAGUGUCAUGUUUUGUUUUUUGACAAUGAAACUCUAAAUGUUUCAUCUGUAUUUUUCCAUUUCCCCUCCUAGUGACUCUACCUUGUGUUUAAGUGCAGACCGCUUGCCAGUCAGUGUAAGUUUAUACAUGAAUGACAUUUUUAUGAAUAUCACUGUGUGCUUUUAUUGUACACAUUUUACACACACCUCUCUUUCUGUAGUUUCUACACAAUUGAGGUUACUUUCGUACACAUGAUAUUUCAUCACAUGCUUAUGAACAUUAUUAUUAAGGCAAUUAACAUUGAUUUAUAUAAGCAUUCAAGAUAAGUGGGUGAUACAUCUUUUCGUAAAAUACACUGAGCUCGUACAUACAUUUCUUCAUCUAUUUAGUAACAUUUUAUAUGUUCAGCCCUGAUACAUUUUUCAAAAGAUGAUCAAAUAACAAUGCUCAGUUUCAGCAUUUGACUCAACUACACUUUGAAUAGAUGUGUAUUCAGAAUUCCCAUAUGUUACUUUGAAUGAAAGCACAUUAUAAUGACAUUAGUUUCGGGUGAAUGUCGGUUGAUUUCAAUGUUUUUAUUAUAUUUCAUACAAAUUAUUAAUAUUUAUUUCCAUUUUUCUUACAGAUAUCCUGUACUGUCCCUCCACUCUCUCCUAUCAUUUUGGACAUUCUGCCUUUCUAUCUCUCCUCUAUCCAACUCUGACUAUUUGAACAGCUAUUGCCAGCCUUUACAACCUAUUUUGAAAGCCUUUACCACAGCCUUUGACAGCCUUUAAAAACCGUUGUGAAAGCCUUUAAGAAAGGCUUUGACUGCCUUUGACAGCCUUUCUACCACUUUUAGAGCCUUAAAAAGAGGCAUUCAGACACUUUGAGAACACUUUUUGGAAACAAGCUUUUUUUUUUCAACUGAUCGCGUGUAAAAGCAAUACUUUUGAAACAGCAAAAUCUUUGAAAGUGCAAAAUCGGAAACAUCACAAUCUUUGAAACAGCUGUACUUUUAAAACAACUACUGUUAUAAAAAAGCACUAAUUUUGCACAAGUGUUAUUUUUCUUGUAGUUCUUCCUUUCCAUUGUGUGGCUCUACAGUUUCACCUGAAGAAGUUUCAUCACCAUCACCGCUCCUGCCUCAUUGAUUUUGAGUUUGAAAAAUAUACCUUUCAUAUUUUUGACUUUAAUUUUAUUUUAACAAAAAAGUCCUGACAUCUAAACAUUUGCUAUUGAUUUUUGUUUCUGUUAAAUAACGUACUUUCUGAAAACAAUAAAGCAUUUCUGUCCACUCUGGU